rnacentral:lncRNA from 1 species
GGGGCCGUGUCGUGGUGAAGGCAAAUACCUUCCUACUGAAGGCUCGCUGGUCUUUGUGGAGCAAUUGCUUUCAUCUGGAGAUGCUAAAGGUCCUACAUAUCAACCCAGCUUUCUGAUAAACAUCGCGCUGCCUUUCUUCUGGCUGGGGAGCUGCCUGAGAUUAUUUGCAAUAAGUGUUUCUGAAGCUUUGGGUGUUUUAUUUUUGUGUUCUGAAGUGGCAAUGUGUCUGUAGCAAAAAGGCAGCGAGAGCUUAUUUCUGAGCAGCUUCAGGCUACCUCUCCACUUGGGGAAGGGAGAGAGCACAGGGGAGGAAGCUGCUCCUGUGAUGUCUCCACGUUUGAGAUGAAAGAUCCCUCUGCUCUGCAUACAGACCUUCUCUGGGAGAGGAAGGGAUGGGGCAGAUCGCCUUUAGCACCCAGCUUAAGUGGAUCCUGCAACGCAGCUGCCAAAAAAAUUAUUCCCAGGAAAGGAAAUAUGGGUCUAAUGCAUGCGAGCACACCUGAGCUAACUGAACCUAGCUGCGAAGACGUGGUGGAAGGGCAGGAUGGUGGCAGCAGGAUGAAGGCAGCAGCACUGCAGCAGAGGCAAGCAUCCGUGGGCAGGACUGAUGUCACCUCUCCUGAAUUCUAUAUGAAACCGCUACUCCCUCGAUUAAAUGUCUCUCAGUCUAACACCUAUGGGACCUGGGGAAAGAGAAAAGAAAAGCAGCAACCUUGACCCUGUCAAAUAAAUAUCUCUAACUUUUCCUGUCCUCCGGCUUC